rnacentral:rRNA from 1 species
AUUGAACGCUGGCGGCAUGCUUUACACAUGCAAGUCGAACGGCAGCGCGGGCUUCGGCCUGGCGGCGAGUGGCGAACGGGUGAGUAAUGCAUCGGAACGUGCCCAGUAGUGGGGGAUAGCCCGGCGAAAGCCGGAUUAAUACCGCAUACGACCUGAGGGUGAAAGCGGGGGACCGAAAGGCCUCGCGCCAUUGGAGCGCCCGAUGUCGGAUUAGCUAGUUGGUGGGGUAAAGGCUUACCAAGGCGACGAUCCGUAGCUGGUCUGAGAGGACGACCAGCCACACUGGGACUGAGACACGGCCCAGACUCCUACGGGAGGCGGCAGUGGGGAAUUUUGGACAAUGGGGGCAACCCUGAUCCAGCCAUGCCGCGUGCGAGAAGAAGGCCUUCGGGUUGUAAACCGCUUUUGUUCGGGAAGAAAUCCUCUGGGCUAAUACCCCGGGGGGAUGACGGUACCGGAAGAAUAAGCACCGGCUAACUACGUG